rnacentral:lncRNA from 1 species
CGUUCCAAAGUCAUUUUGUCCAUCAGUGUCUGAACUUGGACCAGUUCCUUUUUAAGAACAGCCACAUCUUCCACACCAGGCCUUUGUAGCAGCUCUGUCUUUAAGUCUUCUAUGGUACUUCUCUCCUUCAGUAGUUCCUGUGUUAGGUUUGUCAUUUUCUGUUCUGCACCUUCCCGAAGGCUGAUUUCUUCAUCAUACUUUGCUUUAAGAUCCACAAUUUCAGUAGCCAGUUGUGCUGCUUUUUGUUCAAAUAAGUCUUUCAUUUGCUUAAUAUUAAAAUUUUCUACUUGGAUCUCUUCUAGUUGCCGUUCUAAAGAUUCUGUAGAUGUAGAUGUUGUCAAUCCAUCAGACUUAGAAUCUUGCUGCCGCUGCCCCUGCAAUUUCUCUAGUUCUUUCUUCAGCUCUUCUGAAUACCAUCUCUCCUCCUUCAGCGAAGCUUGCAAGUCUUGUACUUCUUGUCGGAGCAGUGAUACUUCAUCUCUUUCUGGUGACAGAUGAC